GACGAACGCUGGCGGCGUGCUUAACACAUGCAAGUCGAACGGAAAGACCCUGCUUUUGUGGGGUGCUCGAGUGGCGAACGGGUGAGUAACACGUGAGUAACCUGCCCUUGACUUUGGGAUAACUUCAGGAAACUGGGGCUAAUACCGGAUAGGAGCUCCUGCCGCAUGGUGGGGGUUGGAAAGUUUCGGCGGUUGGGGAUGGACUCGCGGCUUAUCAGCUUGUUGGUGGGGUAGUGGCUUACCAAGGCUUUGACGGGUAGCCGGCCUGAGAGGGUGACCGGCCACAUUGGGACUGAGAUACGGCCCAGACUCCUACGGGAGGCAGCAGUGGGGAAUAUUGCACAAUGGGCGGAAGCCUGAUGCAGCAACGCCGCGUGCGGGAUGACGGCCUUCGGGUUGUAAACCGCUUUCGCCUGUGACGAAGCGUGAGUGGCGGUAAUGGGUAAAGAAGCACCGGCUAACUACGUG
rnacentral:rRNA from 1 species